GGAAGAAUAUUGGGCAAUGGGGGAAACCCUGACCCAGCAAUGCCGCGUGAAGGAAGAAGGUCUUCGGAUUGUAAACUUCUGUGACGAGGGACGAAAAAAAUGACGGUACCUCGAGAGGAAGCUCCGGCAAACUACGUGCCAGCAGCCGCGGUAAUACGUAGGGAGCAAGCGUUGUCCGGAAUUACUGGGCGUAAAGAGCACGUAGGCGGUGUGGUAAGUUAUAUGUGAAAGACCCUGGCUCAACCAGGGGGGUGCAUAUAAAACUAUCAUACUUGAGUGUAGUAGAGGAAAGUGGAAUUCCUAGUGUAGCGGUGAAAUGCGUAGAUAUUAGGAGGAACACCAGUGGCGAAGGCGACUUUCUGGGCUAUAACUGACGCUGAGGUGCGAAAGCGUGGGGAGCAAACA
rnacentral:rRNA from 1 species